UACGUAGGGUGCGAACGUUGUCCGGAAUUAUUGGGCGUGAAGCGCGUGUAGGCGGCUUUGCAAGUCGGGUGUGAAAGCCCUCAGCUUAACUGAGGAAGUGCGCCCGAAACUGCAGAGCUUGAAUACCGGAGAGGAUGGCGGAAUUCCCCAAGUAGAGGUGAAAUUCGUAGAUAUGGGGAGGAACACCGGUGGCGGAGGCGGCCAUCUGGACGGCUAUUGACGCUGAGACGCGAAAGCGUGGGGAGCAAACAGG
rnacentral:rRNA from 1 species